GGAAGACAUAAAAUAAUAGCCAAAAUUAAACGCCUAAACUGACAAUUAUUUUAAUUUUUCAUUACUUUGUAAGAUUUUGGAAAAUAUUAAAUCAAACGAGUUAUGAUUGAAGUAACAGAUUUACAAAAAAUUGGCAUUGGCCUGGCCGGUUUUGGCGUUUCAUUCCUAUUUUUGGGCGUGCUAUUUCUUUUCGACAAAGGAUUGCUGGCAAUCGGAAAUUUACUCUUCUUAAGUGGCCUAGCUUGUGUUAUCGGAGUUCAACGUACGUUCCGAUUUUUCUUUCAAAGGCACAAGGUAAAGGGAACAACUGCGUUUUUUGGCGGUAUUUUUGUUGUACUACUGGGAUUUCCAAUGAUUGGUAUGGUUAUUGAGUUGUACGGAUUCUUUGUGCUAUUCAGUGGAUUCUUCCCAGUUGCUGUAAAUUUCUUAGGCCGAGUACCUGUAUUAGGUUCAAUUUUGAAUGCACCAUUUAUUCAAAAGCUUGUACAAAAACUCGGUGGGGACACAAAUCGAACGACGGUAUAGUAGACUCCUAUCAAACUUUCAAAUAAGGAUAUUUUUAAUAUAGUUUAUUUCUCCUUGAGCUUAAAUUUAAAGCGUGAUUUUGUAUAAAAAAUACCCAGAUUCCACUUUCACAUGAAAACACUCUACUUAACGGUGAUUUUUGUAUGUUCAGUUUAAAAACGGACAUAUUCAUGCGCGUACUUUCUGGUUGCAACAAAGGUGAUGGCGUGUGGGGUAUAUAUGCGAGAUAUAUACUC